GGGGUUUUAGCUCAGUGGUAGAGCGCUUGCCUAGCAAGUGCAAGGCCCUGGGUUCAGUCCCCAGAUCCG
rfam:Rattus norvegicus chromosome 8, whole genome shotgun sequence.